GAGUUUGAAACCACAAAAAGACAGAACACUAAAUUUAAAUUAAAAUCGUACUGAGGUUUCUCUGUGACAGAACAAAGCCAUACUCUUUAGAGCAGUGCCCUAAGUCUCCUAGUGCCCAGCCAAUAUCUGCUUUUGGCUGUUCAUGUGUGGUCAUGUCUCUUCUCUCCCCUUACCCUCCCUCUGCCCAUGGUAAGUGUCCUAACGCCUACUUUCAUAACCAAGCUUGGCAUGAGAUUUGAUUCCCCAGUGUACCCUCCUGUGCUCCCCCAACCAAGCCCCAAGGGCCUGCUUUUAUCUUCCUUCACAAUGUACUUUGAAAUUCAAUGUGGUGACUAAGCAGAACCUCAAGAAAAGUAGGGACUGUGUCAUAAUUCAUCUAUAUAUCGUAGGAUUAUGCAAUCUAACCAUUAAGUAUGAAGUCUUUUCAAAGUGAAGGAAAUGAUAUCUUCUUGUUUUGUGCUCGUGCCAGACCAGGUGCUUGAACUCAGGGUCUCACACUCUCACUUAGAUUUCUUAUGUAUAGCUGGCUUAUUGAGUCACGCCUGGAACCAUGCC